GGGUUGUGAGGUUAAGCGACUAAGCGUACACGGUGGAUGCCCUGGCAGUCAGAGGCGAUGAAGGACGUGCUAAUCUGCGAUAAGCGUCGGUAAGGUGAUAUGAACCGUUAUAACCGGCGAUUUCCGAAUGGGGAAACCCAGUGUGAUUCGUCACACUAUCAUUAACUGAAUCCAUAGGUUAAUGAGGCGAACCGGGGGAACUGAAACAUCUAAGUACCCCGAGGAAAAGAAAUCAACCGAGAUUCCCCCAGUAGCGGCGAGCGAACGGGGAGGAGCCCAGAGCCUGAAUCAGUGUGUGUGUUAGUGGAAGCGUCUGGAAAGGCGCGCGAUACAGGGUGACAGCCCCGUACACAAAAAUGCACAUGCUGUGAGCUCGAUGAGUAGGGCGGGACACGUGGUAUCCUGUCUGAAUAUGGGGGGACCAUCCUCCAAGGCUAAAUACUCCUGACUGACCGAUAGUGAACCAGUACCGUGAGGGAAAGGCGAAAAGAACCCCGGCGAGGGGAGUGAAAAAGAACCUGAAACCGUGUACGUACAAGCAGUGGGAGCACGCUUAGGCGUGUGACUGCGUACCUUUUGUAUAAUGGGUCAGCGACUUAUAUUCUGUAGCAAGGUUAACCGAAUAGGGGAGCCGAAGGGAAACCGAGUCUUAACUGGGCGUUAAGUUGCAGGGUAUAGACCCGAAACCCGGUGAUCUAGCCAUGGGCAGGUUGAAGGUUGGGUAACACUAACUGGAGGACCGAACCGACUAAUGUUGAAAAAUUAGCGGAUGACUUGUGGCUGGGGGUGAAAGGCCAAUCAAACCGGGAGAUAGCUGGUUCUCCCCGAAAGCUAUUUAGGUAGCGCCUCGUGAAUUCAUCUCCGGGGGUAGAGCACUGUUUCGGCAAGGGGGUCAUCCCGACUUACCAACCCGAUGCAAACUGCGAAUACCGGAGAAUGUUAUCACGGGAGACACACGGCGGGUGCUAACGUCCGUCGUGAAGAGGGAAACAACCCAGACCGCCAGCUAAGGUCCCAAAGUCAUGGUUAAGUGGGAAACGAUGUGGGAAGGCCCAGACAGCCAGGAUGUUGGCUUAGAAGCAGCCAUCAUUUAAAGAAAGCGUAAUAGCUCACUGGUCGAGUCGGCCUGCGCGGAAGAUGUAACGGGGCUAAACCAUGCACCGAAGCUGCGGCAGCGACGCUUAUGCGUUGUUGGGUAGGGGAGCGUUCUGUAAGCCUGUGAAGGUGUACUGUGAGGUAUGCUGGAGGUAUCAGAAGUGCGAAUGCUGACAUAAGUAACGAUAAAGCGGGUGAAAAGCCCGCUCGCCGGAAGACCAAGGGUUCCUGUCCAACGUUAAUCGGGGCAGGGUGAGUCGACCCCUAAGGCGAGGCCGAAAGGCGUAGUCGAUGGGAAACAGGUUAAUAUUCCUGUACUUGGUGUUACUGCGAAGGGGGGACGGAGAAGGCUAUGUUGGCCGGGCGACGGUUGUCCCGGUUUAAGCGUGUAGGCUGGUUUUCCAGGCAAAUCCGGAAAAUCAAGGCUGAGGCGUGAUGACGAGGCACUACGGUGCUGAAGCAACAAAUGCCCUGCUUCCAGGAAAAGCCUCUAAGCAUCAGGUAACAUCAAAUCGUACCCCAAACCGACACAGGUGGUCAGGUAGAGAAUACCAAGGCGCUUGAGAGAACUCGGGUGAAGGAACUAGGCAAAAUGGUGCCGUAACUUCGGGAGAAGGCACGCUGAUAUGUAGGUGAAGUCCCUCGCGGAUGGAGCUGAAAUCAGUCGAAGAUACCAGCUGGCUGCAACUGUUUAUUAAAAACACAGCACUGUGCAAACACGAAAGUGGACGUAUACGGUGUGACGCCUGCCCGGUGCCGGAAGGUUAAUUGAUGGGGUUAGCGCAAGCGAAGCUCUUGAUCGAAGCCCCGGUAAACGGCGGCCGUAACUAUAACGGUCCUAAGGUAGCGAAAUUCCUUGUCGGGUAAGUUCCGACCUGCACGAAUGGCGUAAUGAUGGCCAGGCUGUCUCCACCCGAGACUCAGUGAAAUUGAACUCGCUGUGAAGAUGCAGUGUACCCGCGGCAAGACGGAAAGACCCCGUGAACCUUUACUAUAGCUUGACACUGAACAUUGAGCCUUGAUGUGUAGGAUAGGUGGGAGGCUUUGAAGUGUGGACGCCAGUCUGCAUGGAGCCGACCUUGAAAUACCACCCUUUAAUGUUUGAUGUUCUAACGUGGACCCGUAAUCCGGGUUGCGGACAGUGUCUGGUGGGUAGUUUGACUGGGGCGGUCUCCUCCUAAAGAGUAACGGAGGAGCACGAAGGUUGGCUAAUCCUGGUCGGACAUCAGGAGGUUAGUGCAAUGGCAUAAGCCAGCUUGACUGCGAGCGUGACGGCGCGAGCAGGUGCGAAAGCAGGUCAUAGUGAUCCGGUGGUUCUGAAUGGAAGGGCCAUCGCUCAACGGAUAAAAGGUACUCCGGGGAUAACAGGCUGAUACCGCCCAAGAGUUCAUAUCGACGGCGGUGUUUGGCACCUCGAUGUCGGCUCAUCACAUCCUGGGGCUGAAGUAGGUCCCAAGGGUAUGGCUGUUCGCCAUUUAAAGUGGUACGCGAGCUGGGUUUAGAACGUCGUGAGACAGUUCGGUCCCUAUCUGCCGUGGGCGCUGGAGAACUGAGGGGGGCUGCUCCUAGUACGAGAGGACCGGAGUGGACGCAUCACUGGUGUUCGGGUUGUCAUGCCAAUGGCACUGCCCGGUAGCUAAAUGCGGAAGAGAUAAGUGCUGAAAGCAUCUAAGCACGAAACUUGCCCCGAGAUGAGUUCUCCCUGACCCUUUAAGGGUCCUGAAGGAACGUUGAAGACGACGACGUUGAUAGGCCGGGUGUGUAAGCGCAGCGAUGCGUUGAGCUAACCGGUACUAAUGAACCGUGAGGCUUAACCUUACAACGCCGAAGCUGUU
rnacentral:rRNA from 1 species